GAGGAUAUAGCUCAGUGGUAGAGCGCCUGCCUAGUAAGCAGAGGUCCUGGGUUCAAUCCCCAGUACCUCCA
rnacentral:tRNA from 1 species